UUCUUGCAUAAUAUAAACAACAAGUUGGUUAUUCAUUCGAGUCGAUACCAAUGAGAAAGCCAUGAAAACUUGUGCGAAGUUCAAAAUAUUGUUAAUUUUAUUGUUUGUCCUUCUAGGACCAUGUUCUUCUCCAUACGUUCCUAGACCAAGAAAUUUCACGAGAGACCACCCUAUUAUAUCUCCAUGUCCAAGUGGUGAAAUAGUAUUGAGGGGAAUGUGUAGAAAGGUAUAUAAUUUAUAUACCGAGCCAUAAAAAAGGCACACCAGCAACCUGCCAUGGAAAUUAGAAAACAGUAGUCAAUAUUGUUGAGAAUGGGCAACAUGUACAUUUUCAAUAAAAACUGAGAUUAAA